CAGUAGCCGCGGUAAUACGAAGGGUGCAAGCGUUAAUCGGAAUUACUGGGCGUAAAGCGUGCGUAGGCGGUGGUUUAAGUCCGUUGUAAAAGCCCUGGGCUCAACCUGGGAAUUGCAGUGGAUACUGGGUCACUAGAGUGUGGUAGAGGAUAGUGGAAUUUCCGGUGUAGCAGUGAAAUGCGUAGAGAUCGGAAGGAACAUCUGUGGCGAAGGCGACUAUCUGGGCCAACACUGACACUGAGGCACGAAAGCGUGGGGAGCAAACAGGAUUAGAUACCCCUGUAGUCCCUGUCUCUUAUAC
rnacentral:rRNA from 1 species